CUCUAGGAAGCUAAACCGGGCGAAGCAUCAGCCUUUUAAGCUGAACAUUGGUGACUCCCAACCACCCCUAGUGA
rnacentral:tRNA from 1 species